AUUGAACGCUGGCGGCAUGCUUGACACAUGCAAGUCGGACGAGCGGCGGACGGGGGAGUAAUGUCUGGGAAACUGACUGAUGGAGGGGGAUAACUACGGGAAACGGUAGCUAAUACCGCAUACAAUCAGAUGUGCCCAGAUGGGAUUAGAUAGUAGGUGGGGUAACGGCAUACCUAGGCGGCGAUCCCUAGCUGGUCUGAGAGGAUGCCCAGCCACACUGGAACUGAGACACGGUCCAGACUCCUACGGGAGGCAGCAGUGGGGAAUAUUGCACAAUGGGCGCAAGCCUGAUCCAGCCAUGCCGCGUGUCUGAAGAAGGCCUUCGGGUUGUAAAGGACUUUUGUCAGGGAAGCGGUACCUGAAGAAUAAGCACCGGCUAACUACGUGCCAGCAGCCGCGGUAAUAC
rnacentral:rRNA from 1 species